rnacentral:rRNA from 1 species
GCCAGACUCCUACGGGAGGCAGCAGUGAGGAAUAUUGGUCAAUGGGCGGGAGCCUGAACCAGCCAAGUCGCGUGAGGGAUGACGGCCCUAUGGGUUGUAAACCUCUUUUGCCGGGGAGCAAAGUGCCGCACGUGUGCGGUUUGGAGAGUACCCGGAGAAAAAGCAUCGGCUAACUACGUGCCAGCAGCCGCGGUAAUACGUAGGGGGCAAGCGUUAUCCGGAAUUACUGGGUGUAAAGGGAGCGUAGACGGUGAUGCAAGUCUGGAGUGAAAGGCGGGGGCCCAACCCCCGGACUGCUCUGGAAACUGUGUAACUUGAGUGCAGGAGAGGUAAGCGGAAUUCCUAGUGUAGCGGUGAAAUGCGUAGAUAUUAGGAGGAACACCAGUGGCGAAGGCGGCUUACUGGACUGUAACUGACGUUGAGGCUCGAAAGCGUGGGGAGCAAACAGGAUUAGAUACCCCGGUAUUG